AUGUUACUUUUGGUUUAUUGGAUUGUGUUUUUGUAUCAAAUGAAGUUAUUUGUUAUUUGAAUGUGGUUAUUGUGCAUAUUAGUUUUUGUUGUAGUGUAUUAUUGAUAUAGAUAGAUCGACGAACAGUUGGAAAUAGGUCUUUGUGAAUGUUGUAGCAGUUCAAAGUCUAAUUAGAGAAAAUAACUGUGCACUUACUAAUUCUAGCUGUUAUUGCUCUCGGGAAUUCAUGGUAUAGAAUCCUCUACCCUGUUAGAAGUUAUGUUAGUAAUUGAAAGAGUAUUUUCAACAGUAUUUUAUCAUCUCUAAUUUGUAACCUAUUGCUCCCACUAUCUGUGUUUCUUUUGCGAUUUCUACCAUACUUUUCUACUGAUGUAGUCUGUUGUUAGUAGCACAAAUGAGAAGCCUUAAUAUAUGGAUGAUUGUAGCUAUUCUGAGUUUCAAGUUUAUAAUUUUCUAUUUCUUUCGUUUGGUGGGACCUGAGGAUUGUUAUACACAAUGACAGUAUAAAGAUUUCUUUACGCUAUUAGUGUAUUUUGACCUGUUAUAUAAUCUUGCUUUCCAUUUUUUUAAGAUUGCCAAUUAAUGUUUGUAUAGAGAAUUACAUGCAAUUACUUUUUUAAGUGAUAUGAUAGUGUAAAAGUGCUUUUUACACCUUCAGUGUGUAGAACUUGUACUCUUUUUAUAAUUAUUUCGUGAUGCCCUUGGACCUAAUCUCAGUGUUGUCAAAGGUGCUUCUUAAGCCCAGAAGCGAGGCUCAGAACACGUUGAGCGCUUCGCCUCGCUUUGUGGGCACUUUGGUGUCGUAUCAAUACUCGAAAACAUACUUUUCCUUGCCAAUGAAGUAAUCCUGA
rnacentral:lncRNA from 1 species